GGAAAAAAAUAAAAUUGUGUUUUUUAACUGUACAGAUAACGAAUACGUGAUACAGAUUAAAAUAAAACAGCGGCACAAUCAAAAACACCACAGACAAUGAAGCGUUAGGCAUUAAUAAAAAAGUACUUACCCUGUUCGAAAUUAAUUGGAGAUUUAUGUUAAAACAUAAAUAAAGCAAGAAUAUUUUAUUUUGCUAACUUUUUAUUCUCAUUCAAUAAACAUUAUUUAAAAAUUAUUGAUCACAUUUUAAGCCUAUUAUACCUAUCAUACAAAUUCAACAGUAAAAUCUUAAUUUGCAAUCUCUUAUGUAAGUGCAAAAUCUAGAUAUAUAAAAACAUUUUAACUAUUUUGUUAUUUUCUGCUUUAUUACUUCAAUAUAACUUCAAAAUUGAUACACACAAAUUCAUCUCCACAAAAUCAAGACUAACAUUUUGAAGUAUUAGUAUAAACUUAGCCUAUAUAGGAGGCAUUUAAGUACAAUCCAUUUUCAUAUUCAUGGAAGCAAAAAACGUUUUUUUUUAAUAAUCACAGUUAAAUUCGAUAAAUAUUGUGAUAGUGAUUGUUCAUUGCAUCUUCCUCUAAAUGAUUUAACUAAAUAUAAAAGUGUAUUUUAUUUAUCUAUCUACCCACCUUAAUUUAAUUGUGAUCUUUCAGUAUAGGUACAUUAAAAAUUGUCUUUGUAAACAAAAUUGUGAUUCUAUUAUAAAAAUUUUGGAAUGUUAAUAAGUAUAAUAUUAUGCAUACAAUAAUAAAAUUAGUCUGCCUAUACAGCACCGUCGAAUUAAUCUCAAAUACCUAAUACUUUAUUGCUUUUAAAAUUGCAGUCUAAAUAUUUUAAUAGAAAGUAUCUAUUCGCUUGGAAUUCUAUACUAUUAUAAGUUAUUAUUUUACUUCUAUAUAAAUCCGUUUUAUACCAUUCCCAAAAAAAAAAAAAAGAAUAUAUAUUAUUUUUAAUACAUGACAAUGUAAAAGGCACUUAUAUAUUGUUUUUAAUUUUAAAAAGUGAUGUAUUAAAUUUUCUAAUCUGAGCAAAAUAGCAAGUUGAGCAAUAUUUUAAAAAUACGAUAUGGCUAGAGAAUGCCUGAAAAAUGUAUAAUUUUAUAAUUCAUUUUUUGGCAAGGCGCUUCAAAUAGUCUUUGAAUGAGAUCUUGUGAUGCCUCGAGUUUGACCAGAUAACAAGUGAUGUAUUUAUUUAUUAAUCAGCCUAAUAAUAAUAGUCAAAACAAAUAAAUAUUAUUAAAUAUUGGUAGUAACCUAAUAAUAAUUAUAAAGUAAUGUAACAAACAUACAUCUAUCUCAUAAAAUUUCAUAGUUUCCUUACAUUAAAAAAACUUCUAUCACAUACUUCGUUUUAUAAUAAUUCAUAUUACAAUCGCAUAAUAUAGGUAAAAAAUUGAUAAUUUCAUAAAAAUUUAGAUAAGACCACCUUGGCUAUUCUGAUAUAUUUUUGUAUCUUCAGGAAAAUAUUUAUUGCUACCAAUUACAAUGGGAAAUUCCCUUUAUAAAUAUCAUUAUAUUUUUUGUUUAAAAUUACUUUACUUAUCGGUAUGAUUAGUAAGUAUUAUCCAUACUAAUUAACAUAAAUGCGAAAGUAUGUCUGAUUUCCACUUUUUCCAGGACUAUCUGCUCAACCGAUUUUGACGAAAGGUACUUACAAAGAUAGCUUGUGUCUCAUAGACAGACAUAAGCCAUUGUUUAUUCCAGAUAAUAGCCUCCAAGGGUUUAUCAAAACCUAAAUCUAUGCAGACGAAGUCACAGGUAUCAUCAAGUAAUAUAAUAAACUACAUACAGCCCGGUAACUGAUAAAUCUUCUGGUAUAUACACAUAAGUCUAAAUCUAAAAUCUUAUAAUAUGAAAGUUAAUUCAAAUACAAAAACGAACACACAUGCAACAAAUGUCCAGUAUCAAUCAGGAACAUUUGGAACAACGACAA